UGUGAUGCCCUUAGAUGUUCUGGGCCGCACGCGCGCUACACUGUUGCAUUCAACGAGCCUAUCCUUGACCGAGAGGUCCGGGUAAUCUUUGAAACUGCAACGUGAUGGGGAUAGAUUAUUGCAAUUAUUAGUCUUCAACGAGGAAUGCCUAGUAAGCGCGAGUCAUCAGCUCGCGUUGAUUACGUCCCUGCCCUUUGUACACACCGCCCGUCGCUCCUACCGAUUGGGUGUGCUGGUGAAGUGUUCGGAUUGGUUUUAGUUGAUGGCAACAUUGGCUUUUACUGAGAAGAUCAUUAAACCCUCCCACCUAGAGGAAGGAGAAGUCGUAACAAGGUUUCCGUAGGUGAACCUGCGGAAGGAUCAUUG
rnacentral:rRNA from 2 species